GGGCUGAUAGCUCAGUGGGAAGAGCGUCAGAUUAAGUCUAAAGGUUGUGGGUUCAAUCCCCGCUUAGUUCC